UACGUAGGUCUCGAGCGUUGUCCGGAUUUAUUGGGCUUAAAGCGAGCGCAGGUGGUUUAUUAAGUCUGGUGUAAAAGGCAGUGGCUCAACCAUUGUAUGCAUUGGAAACUGGUAGACUUGAGUGCAGGAGAGGAGAGUGGAAUUCCAUGUGUAGCGGUGAAAUGCGUAGAUAUAUGGAGGAACACCGGUGGCGAAAGCGGCUCUCUGGCCUGUAACUGACACUGAGGCUCGAAAGCGUGGGGAGCAAACAGG
rnacentral:rRNA from 1 species